GAUGAACGCUGGCGGCGUGCCUAAUACAUGCAAGUCGAGCGAACAGACGAGGCGCUUGCUCCUCUGACGUUAGCGGCGGACGGGAGUGUAACACGUGGAUAACCUCCUUAUAAUACUGGGAUAAUUUCGGGAAACGGGAGCUAAUACCGGAUAAUCUAUUGAACCGUGUGGUUCAAUAGUGAAAUACGGUUUUGCUGUAACUUAUAGAUGGAUCUGGGCCGCAUGAGCGAGUUGGGGAGGUAAAGGCUUACCACGGCGACGCUGCGUAGCCGAGCUGAGAGGGUGAUCGGCGACUCAGGAAGUGAGAGGCGGUACAGGGUCUGACGGGAGGCAGCGGUAGGGAAUGUAGCGCAAUGGGCGAAAGCCUGAACGAGGAGCGGCGCGCGAGUGAAGAAGGGCCUCGGAUCGGAAAACGCUGUUAUGGGGGUAGAACAAAUGUGUAAGUAACUAUGCGCGUCUGGACGGAAUGGGAUCAGAAAGCCACGGCUAACUACGU
rnacentral:rRNA from 1 species